GUGCCGUGAUGUAACUGUCAACACAUCAUUCUGAAGAAUUGUGUGGAGACCUUCUGCAACUGAGCACC
rnacentral:snoRNA from 1 species